GCGUGAGUAACCUGCCUUCAAGAGGGGGAUAACAUUCUGAAAGAAUGCUAAUACCGCAUGACAUAUCGGAACCACANGGUUUUGAUAUCAAAGAUUUUAUACGCUUGAAGAUGGACUCGCGUCCGAUUAGUUAGUUGGUGAGGUAACGGCUCACCAAGACCGCGAUCGGUAGCCGGACUGAGAGGUUGAACGGCCACAUUGGGACUGAGACACGGCCCAGACUCCUACGGGAGGCAGCAUG
rnacentral:rRNA from 1 species